GACGGAGGAUGCAAGUGUUAUCCGGAAUCACUGGGCGUAAAGGGUGCGUAGGCGGGUCUUUAAGUCAGGGGUGAAAUCCUGGAGCUCAACUCCAGAACUGCCUUUGAUACUGAGGAUCUUGAGUUCGGGAGAGGUGAGUGGAACUGCGAGUGUAGAGGUGAAAUUCGUAGAUAUUCGGAAGAACACCAGUGGCGAAGGCGACUUACUGGACACAUAGUUGACGCUGAGGUGCGAAAGCGUGGGGAGCAAACAGG
rnacentral:rRNA from 1 species